rfam:TPA: Bos taurus chromosome 17, whole genome shotgun sequence.
GGACAUGAGGGCAAUCUGGUAGUGACAUCUGUCACCCCACUAAUCCCCAGGGUGGAUUCGACUGAUCUGGCUGGCUAAGCGGGUGUCCCCUUCCUCCUUCACCACUCCACGUCCAUCCCUCCUGGAGCUGCAUACUUUGUUGAAGAGGACCACCUUCCCUGGUAGAGGAGGACCACUCCCCUGCUAGAACCUCCGAACAAGCUCUUAAGAGUGACAGGUGGAGGGAAAGAGGGAAAGUGAUGAGGACAUGCACCCCACCCCCCACCCCAGG